GAGUUUGAUCCUGGCUCAGGACGAACGCUGGCGGCGUGCUCAACACAUGCAAGUCGAACGAAGCACCUUGAUUUGAUUCUUCGGAUGAAGAUCUUGGUGACUGAGUGGCGGACGGGUGAGUAACGCGUGGGUAACCUGCCUCAUACAGGGGGAUAACAGUUAGAAAUGACUGCUAAUACCGCAUAAGACCACAGCACCGCAUGGUGCAGGGGUAAAAACUCCGGUGGUAUGAGAUGGACCCGCGUCUGAUUAGGUAGUUGGUGGGGUAACGGCCUACCAAGCCGACGAUCAGUAGCCGACCUGAGAGGGUGACCGGCCACAUUGGGACUGAGACACGGCCCAAACUCCUACGGGAGGCAGCAGUGGGGAAUAUUGCACAAUGGGGGAAACCCUGAUGCAGCGACGCCGCGUGAGCGAUGAAGUAUUUCGGUAUGUAAAGCUCUAUCAGCAGGGAAGAAAAUGACGGUACCUGACUAAGAAGCACCGGCUAAAUACGUGCCAGCCGCCGCGGUAAUUC
rnacentral:rRNA from 1 species